rnacentral:rRNA from 1 species
CGUGGAGACAGGUGGUGCAUGGCUGUCGUCAGCUCGUGUCGUGAGAUGUUGGGUUAAGUCCCGCAACGAGCGCAACCCUCACCUCUUGUUGCCAUCAGGUCAUGCUGGGCACUCUAGAGGAACUGCCCCGGUCAACGGGGAGGAAGGCGGGGAUGACGUCAAGUCAUCAUGCCCCUUACGUCCUGGGCUACACACGUGCUACAAUGGCCGGUACAAUGGGAUGCGACGCCGCGAGGUAGAGCUAAACCCAAGAAGCCGGUCUAAGUUCAGAUUGGAGUCUGCAACUCGACUCCAUGAAGGAGGAAUCGCUAGUAAUCGCGUAUCAGCACGACGCGGUGAAUACGUUCCCGGGCCUUGUACACACCGCCCGUCACACCACGAAAGCCAGCUGUACUCGAAGUCGCUGAG